UACAGAGGUGCCGAGCGUUAGGCGGAAUCACUGGGCUUAAAGCGCGCGCAGGCGGCUAUCCAAGUCAGUGGUGAAAGCCCGGAGCUCAACUCCGGAACUGCCAUUGAAACUGUUUAGCUUGAGGACGAGAGAGGUGAGUGGAAUUCCCAGUGUAGAGGUGAAAUUCGUAGAUAUUGGGAAGAACACCGGUGGCGAAGGCGGCUCACUGGCUCGUAUCUGACGCUCAGGCGCGACAGCGUGAGGAUCAAACAGG
rnacentral:rRNA from 1 species